rnacentral:rRNA from 1 species
AGAGUUUGAUUUUGGCUCAGGACGAACGCUGGCGGCGUGCCUAACACAUGCAAGUCGAGCGAGUGAAUUUCCUUCGGGAUUGAAGCUAGCGGCGGACGGGUGAGUAACACGUGGGCAACCUGCCUCAUAGAGGGGAAUAGCCUUUCGAAAGGAAGAUUAAUACCGCAUAAGAUUGUAGCUUCGCAUGAAGUAGCAAUUAAAGGAGCAAUCCGCUAUGAGAUGGGCCCGCGGCGCAUUAGCUAGUUGGUGAGGUAACGGCUCACCAAGGCGACGAUGCGUAGCCGACCUGAGAGGGUGAUCGGCCACAUUGGGACUGAGACACGGCCCAGACUCCUACGGGAGGCAGCAGUGGGGAAUAUUGCACAAUGGGGGAAACCCUGAUGCAGCAACGCCGCGUGAGUGAUGACGGCCUUCGGGUUGUAAAGCUCUGUCUUCAGGGACGAUAAUGACGGUACCUGUAGAAUAAGCUCCGGCUAACUACGUGCCAGCAGCCGCGGUAAUACGUAGGGAGCAAGCGUUAUCCGGAUUUAUUGGGUGUAAAGGGUGCGUAGACGGGAAAUUAAGUUAGUUGUGAAAUCCCUCGGCUUAACUGAGGAACUGGCACUAAAACUGAUUUUCUUAAGUGCUGGAGAGGAAAGUGGAAUUCCUAGUGUAGCGGUGAAAUGCGUAGAUAUUAGGAGGAACACCAGGGGCGAAGGCAACUUUCUGGACAAUUAACUGACUUUGAGGCACGAAAGAGUGGGGAGCAAACAGGAUUAGAUACCCUGGUAGUCCACACCGUAAACGAUGGAUACUAGGUGUAGGGUGUGAUAAACAUUCUGUGCCGUCGCGAACGCAGUAAGUAUCCCACCUGGGGUAGUACGGCCGCAAGGUUGAAAACUCAAAGGAAUUGACGGGGGCCCGCACAAGCAGUGGAGUAUGUGGUUUAAUUCGAGGCAACUCGAAGAACCUUACCAGGUCUUGACAUCCAACUAACGAAGCAGAGGGGCAUUAGGAACCAUUCGGGGAAAGUUGAGACAGGAGGUGCAUGGUUGUCGUCAGCUCGUGUCGUGAGAUGUUGGGUUAAGUCCCGCAACGAGCGCAACCCCUAUUGUUAGUUGCUACGCAAGAGCACUCUAGCGAGACUGCCGUUGACAAAACGGAGGAAGGUGGGGACGACGUCAAAUCAUCAUGCCCCUUAUGUCCUGGGCCACACACGUACUACAAUGGUCGUUAACAGAGGGAAGCAAUACCGCGAGGUGGAGCAAAACCCUAAAAACGGUCUCAGUUCAGAAUGUAGGCUGCAACUCGCCUACAUGAAGUUGGAAUUGCUAGUAAUCGCGGAUCAGCAUGCCGCGGUGAAU